CUCGCCCUGCGCCGCUCCUUCCUGUCUGCUCGCAUCACAUCCUGCACUGUCGCCGCUGGAACAGAAGAAGAAGAAGAGCAGCAGCAGCUUACAGGGGCAGAUCCGCCUGCAGACCAGUUUCCUCAGCAUGUCGGCACACGGCCGCUCAGCGGGGCUGGGGCUCCUCCGGUAACCUCACACCUUCCUCCCGAGGAAGACUCCCGCUCCCCCCCAUCCCGCCGCGAGCCAGCAUGCGUGCUUCGGCGCGACCCUCUUCCUCCUCCACCCUCGUCCUCUGGAUGGAGAGGAGUGAUGAAGGAGAGAGGGAGGAGGAGGGAGAGGAGCACGCCGCCACCCAAUGAGGGGAGAGGUGAGGGAUUGGGGGACAAACCGCUGCAUGGAGGCAGAGCCGAAGGGGGCGGAGCCAAAGCGGCAGGGAGCGCAACAUGAUGACUCAGGAGAGGAAGAGGAGGAGGGGAGGAAGCUGCUGCUCCAUCAGCCCUGGAGGACUUUAACUCACAACAAUAUGAUAGUUGGAUCAGAAAACCAGAUGCUUGAAAAAGAUCAGACUAAUGAUGCAGCUCAUGAAAUGGGCGGGGUCAAAGUGCUCAUCCUAAGAACAUUCACUCCCCAUCAGGAGUUUAUACAUUCUCUGCACAAAAGAAGAAACAAUGGCUUUUGUUCAUCCGAGAAGACGUGGAACUGUGGACUUUGGAACAUCAAGGCUCCUCUCUUCAUCUCCUCAAUCAAUCAGUUAUAGAAGAUUUCCAUGGAAACGGUCUGUUAUUUCAUAGUUACUCUACUGGUGGAGGACAAAAGCAGAGCGGGUGAAACCUAAACUGAGUAACUGCACAGAUCCUUCCUGAAGAUGACACGUUCCACAACUGUAACAGAACCAACAGAUGAGAACCGCUCCGUUUAAGACAUGUUGUUGAGGAGGGCUGCCACCAUUAGUCGACGACUAAACAACUAUUAAAAUAGUCGACGACUAAUUUGAUAGUCGAUAAGUCGUUACUUUAUAUUAUAGGGAGUCGGAGUGUAGUAAAGUUGAAAGUUAUGAUGACAUUUUGCUAGCUUUUUGGACUAUUUUGGCAUUUAUUAAGGUUUUUAGGCUAUUUUGGAGUUUAGCUAAUAACUUCGCUUCAUGCUUCAGCAUUUUCAGCUUUUAGCUUCAGCGAUUUCAGCUAUUAGCAUCAGCGAUUUCAGCUAUUAGCGUCAGCGAUUUCAGCUAUUAGCUUUAGCUUUUUCAGCUAUCAGCUUUAGCGAUUUCAGCUAUUAGCGUCAGAGUUUUCAGCUAUCAGCUUUUUCAGCUAUCAACUUUAGCGAGUUCAGCUAUUAGCUUCAGCGAUUUCAGCUAUUAGCUUAAGCGAUUUCAGCUAUUAGCGUCAGCGAUUUCAGCUAUUAGCUUCAGCGAUUUCAGCUAUUAGCGUCAGAGUUUUCAGCUAUCAGCUUUUUCAGCUAUCAACUUUAGCGAGUUCAGCUAUUAGCUUCAGCGAUUUCAGCUAUUAGCUUCAGCGAUUUCAGCUAUUAACAUCAGCGUUUUCAGCUAUUAGCUUCACCGAUUUCAGCUAUUAGCUUCAGCGAUUUCAGCUAUUAACUUCAGCGUUUUCAGCUAUUAGCUUCACCGAUUUCAGCUAUUAGCUUCAGCAUUUUCAGCUAUUAGCUUCAGCGAUUUCAGCUAUUAGCGUCAGCGAUUUCAGCUAUCAGCGUCAGCGAUUUCAGCUAUUAGCGUCAGAGUUUUCAGCUAUCAGCUUUUUCAGCUAUCAACUUUAGCGAGUUCAGCUAUUAACUUCAGCGUUUUCAGCUAUUAGCUUCAGCGAUUUCAGCUAUUAGCUUCAGCGAUUUCAGCUAUUAACUUCAGCGUUUUCAGCUAUUAGCUUCACCGAUUUCAGCUAUUAGCUUCAGCGAUUUCAGCUAUUAGCUUCAGCGAUUUCAGCUAUUAGCGUCAGCGAUUUCAGCUAUCAGCGUCAGCGAUUUCAGCUAUUAGCGUCAGAGUUUUCAGCUAUCAGCUUUUUCAGCUAUCAACUUUAGCGAGUUCAGCUAUUAACUUCAGCGUUUUCAGCUAUUAGCUUCAGCGAUUUCAGCUAUUAGCUUCAGCGAUUUCAGCUAUUAACUUCAGCGUUUUCAGCUAUUAGCUUCACCGAUUUCAGCUAUUAGCUUCAGCGUUUUCAGCUAUUAGCUUCAGCGAUUUCAGCUAUUAACUUCAGCGUUUUCAGCUAUUAGCUUCACCGAUUUCAGCUAUUAGCUUCAGCGUUUUCAGCUAUUAGCUUCACCGAUUUCAGCUAUUAGCUUCAGCGUUUUCAGCUAUUAGCUUCACCGAUUUCAGCUAUUAGCUUCUGCGUUUUCAGCUAUUAGCUUCAGUGAUUUCAACUAUCAAGCAUCUUCAGCGGCCUAAUUCAGUUUACAGCACUCACACGAGCAUUAUUGCAGGUAAUGUUAUUCUAUAUAUCUAAUUUUUAGUUAGUUCAAAGCUAAUGAUGGUUAAGAUGUGUGCUUUACAUCCAGUUUGCGCAUGAACCGAUUAGCUGACUAAUCGGAAAAAAUAGUCGGUGAUUAGUCGACUAUUAAAAAUAAUGGUUUGUGGCAGCACUAAUGUUGAGUCACAAAGCCUGCAGAAACAGACGAUCACUCUCCGUAAAACAAAUAGACAUCUAAGUGGAACUGUGUCACAAACCUGAACAAAAGAAAACUUCUGGAUAUUUUUGAAUUAUCAUUUUAAAGAACAGCUUCAUUAAAUGCUAAUGUUUUCCUGCAGAUCCGGGUUAAAUGUCAC
ensembl:lncRNA